AUGAUCAUCAUACUCUGGGCGAUUUGGUCUGAACGACGGAGGAUUAUUCACGAAGGAAUUCUACAAACUCCGUUUGCAACACAUGCGUUCAUAAAGAGAGAUAUUACCGACUUGCAGUGCCUUUCAAAGCGGGAACCCAGACCACACGCAGCGGCAACACCAAGACCAAACUCCUGGAUACCACCCGAGGAAGGACACGCAAAGAUAAAUGUUGAUGCAGCAGUGUCCAGGUCGGGAAGUUUUGGGGCUGUAGGCGCUAUUUGUCGUGACGGUUCUGGUGUCUUCUGGGGGGCAUCAGCUGUGGUUUUCAGGAAUAUUGAGGAUCCUGAGGUGCUGGAAGCGUUGGUGAUUAGAGAGGCUCUAUCUCUAGCAAAUGACCUAUAUAUUCAUAAGAUAUUAGUGGCAUCUGAUUGCAAAAUGGCGGUUGAAGCUAUUCGGAGGGGAUCAUCGCCUCUAUGUGGUGCUAUUGUUCGCGAGAUCAACCAAAGCUCUAGUAGUUUUUCCUCUUGUUUAAUUUUACAUGAGUUUAGAACCUCGAAUGUCCAUGCCCACAAACUAGCAAAGCAUGCUUUGAGUCUAGGGAUAGGUCGUCAUGUUUGGUUUGGUAUUCCUGGAGAUCUCUUGUUCUCCCUGUAA
rnacentral:rRNA from 1 species